AUUACUUUUGGUAGCAAUAUCGAGAGUAAUUUAGUGGCGAACGGGUGCGUAACACGUGGGCAAUCUGCCUUAAAGUGGGGGAUAGCUCGGCGAAAGCCGAAUUAAUACCGCAUGUGGUGAGGGAAGACAUCUUUCCGAAACCAAAGCCGGGGCAACCUGGCGCUUUUUGAGGAGCCCGCGGCCUAUCAGCUAGUUGGUGAGGUAACGGCCCACCAAGGCUAUGACGGGUAGCUGGUCUGAGAGGACGACCAGUCACACUGGAACUGAGACACGGUCCAGACACCUACGGGUGGCAGCAGUCGAGAAUUUUUCUCAAUGGGGGAAACCCUGAAGGAGCGACGCCGCGUGGAGGAUGAAGGCUCUCGGGUUGUAAACUCCUGUCAUUUGGGAACAAGUUGCACACGUUAACUGCGUGGGCAUUGAUAGUACCAGAAGAGGAAGAGACGGCUAACUCUGUGCCAGCAGCCGCGGUAAUACAGAGGUCUCAAGCGUUGUUCGGAAUCAUUGGGCGUAAAGGGUGCGUAGGUGGCGCCGUAAGUCGGGUGUGAAAUUUCGAGGCUUAACCUCGAAACUGCAUUCGAUACUGCGGUGCUUGAGGACUGGAGAGGAGACUGGAAUUCAUGGUGUAGCAGUGAAAUGCGUAGAGAUCAUGAGGAAGACCAGUGGCGAAGGCGGGUCUCUGGACAGUUCCUGACACUGAGGCACGAAGGCCAGGGGAGCAAACGGGAUUAGAUACCCCGGUAGUCCUGGCAGUAAACGGUGCACGUUU
rnacentral:rRNA from 1 species